AGCUUUGCACGGUGCCAGUGUGGUAGCCAAUGAGGUUUAUCCGAGGAGCGAUUAUUGCUAAUUGAAAACUUUUCCCAAUACCCCGCCAUGAUGACCUGAAAUAUAGUUGGCAUUGGCAAUUUUUGACAGUCUCUAUGGAGA
rnacentral:snRNA from 1 species